ACCCGCUGAACUUAAGCAUAUCAAUAAGCGGAGGAAAAGAAACCAACAGGGAUUACCUCAGUAACGGCGAGUGAAGCGGUAACAGCUCAAAUUUGAAAUCUGCCGCAAGGCCGAGUUGUAAUUUGUAGAAGAUGCUUUGGGUAUGGCCCCGGUCUAAGUUCGUUGGAACACGACGUCAUAGAGGGUGAGAAUCCCGUAUGUGACUGGGUGCUUUUGCCUAUGUAAAGCUCUUUCGACGAGUCGAGUUGUUUGGGAAUGCAGCUCAAAAUGGGUGGUAUAUUUCAUCUAAAGCUAAAUAUUGGCCAGAGACCGAUAGCGCACAAGUAGAGUGAUCGAAAGAUGAAAAGCACUUUGGAAAGAGAGUUAAACAGUACGUGAAAUUGUUGAAAGGGAAGCGCUUGCAACCAGACUUGCACGCUGUUGAUCAUCCAGGCUUCUGUCUGGUGCACUCGGCAGCGUUCAGGCCAGCAUCGGUUCUGGUGGUGGGAUAAAGGCCUUGGGAAUGUAGCUUCUUUCGGGGAGUGUUAUAGCCCUCGGUGCAAUGCCGCCUACCGGGACCGAGGACCGCGCUUCGGCUAGGAUGCUGGCGUAAUGGUUGUAAGCGACCCGUCUUGAAACACGG
rnacentral:rRNA from 1 species